GCUCACAGCGCGGACUGCGGGCGCGUGCACGCGUCUCCCCGCUGCUUUGCGUGGAGCAGCGAGUGACCGGAGAGAGAGCGUGCGCACCGCGCGGUAGUGGGGAGAGGUGUGACGUUCCCGCACCGCAUCUUCAACAUGACAGGUCUUCCUGACCGACCAGCGACGGUGUGUCCGAGUCGGACCCCCCUGGCGGUCGUCUGAGGCGGGGGGAGGGGGGGCCGUCGCACCCAUGUUCAGAGCCAGUGUGUGUCGAGUCCAAUGGAACCUGUGACCCUGGCGGGCGAGAGCCCAGCGAUGCGCCCCGUCAGGUCUUCGUCCCCGCGUGCCCUCCGCGCCCUGCUCCUGGUGGCGUGCGCGCUGGCGUGCGCGCUCGCGUCCAGCGCACCUGUUGCAGUCAUCCGUUAAAGAUGUCCCCUGCCCAUGUCAUUUGAGGUGAUGGGCAGGCAACCCUUCCAAUCUUUUGAAUAUUGUUGUUACUCCCACAACCUACUG
ensembl:lncRNA